rnacentral:ncRNA from 1 species
AAAGGGGUGCCCGGAAGUGGCUGAGAUUAUACCCUGUGAACCUGAUGCGGUUAGUACCGCCGAAGGGAUUGUU